rnacentral:rRNA from 1 species
UACGAAGGGGGCUAGCGUUGCUCGGAAUCACUGGGCGUAAAGCGCACGUAGGCGGAUCUUUAAGUCGGGGGUGAAAUCCUGGAGCUCAACUCCAGAACUGCCUUCGAUACUGGGGAUCUUGAGUCCGGAAGAGGUGAGUGGAACUGCGAGUGUAGAGGUGAAAUUCGUAGAUAUUCGCAAGAACACCAGUGGCGAAGGCGGCUCACUGGCCCGAUACUGACGCUGAGGUGCGAAAGCGUGGGGAGCAAACAGG